UACGAAGGGUGCAAGCGUUAAUCGGAAUUACUGGGCGUAAAGCGCGCGUAGGUGGUUCAGUAAGUUGGAUGUGAAAUCCCCGGGCUCAACCUGGGAACUGCAUCCAAAACUGCUGAGCUAGAGUACGGUAGAGGGUGGUGGAAUUUCCUGUGUAGCGGUGAAAUGCGUAGAUAUAGGAAGGAACACCAGUGGCGAAGGCGACCACCUGGACUGAUACUGACACUGAGAUGCGAAAGCGUGGGGAGCAAACAGG
rnacentral:rRNA from 1 species